AUCUGGCCUGAUCCUGUCACAAUUGCUAUAUUCCAUGAAAAAGAAUAAAGUUUGAUGCUACAGGCACUAGCGGUCACAAUGAUAAAGCUUAUGAUCUGAUAAAGAUUAAAGACAUAAAAGUACUGUGAAGAUUAAACUUCAAAGGUUCAUGAUGGCUGUCUCAUUUUCUCCAAGGGAAUUUAGAUGAAGGAAAAACGUUCCCAGAAGACGUGGAAUAUAUGCUCUGGUAUGACUGCUUCCUGCAGUUCUCUAAUUCUUCCCACCCUAACAAGGGCAAAGGAUAGCAGAGGGACAUGAAGGAAGAAAAGAAGAUGUGCUGCCUGGGAAGACUGAAUUGUAACUAUGAUAGUCACUGUUCAGAGUGAAAACAACGAGGAGUCCUCGAGACUAACGGAUGAGGAUGGGCCCAAACCAAAACCCUGGGUCCAAACACAGAAACAAACAUUAAGAAUCUUCAUUUUGUUUGCUGAUAAAUACCACUGGGACAUCUCUCCCAGAGAGAACGGAUUAGGUAACUCAUGAACAACAGGGAUAGAUAGAAUGAACCGAAAUCAUGGCAUUACACAUCUGAGUUCAUCUAUUGAUGUUCUAGUUUUCAUGGAGAAAGUACACAGCGGAG